rnacentral:rRNA from 1 species
AACGAACGCUGGCGGCAUGCCUAACACAUGCAAGUCGAACGAGACCUUCGGGCCUAGUGGCGCACGGGUGCGUAACGCGUGGGAACCUGCCCUUAGGUUCGGAAUAACUCCCCGAAAGGGGUGCUAAUACCGGAUAAUGUCUUCGGACCAAAGAUUUAUCGCCUUUGGAUGGGCCCGCGUUGGAUUAGCUAGUUGGUAGGGUAAAAGCCUACCAAGGCGACGAUCCAUAGCUGGUCUGAGAGGAUGAUUAGCCACACUGGGACUGAGACACGGCCCAGACUCCGACGGGGGGCAGCAGUAGGGAAUAUUGGACGAUGGACGAAAGCCUGAUCCAGCAGUGCCGCGGGAGUGAUGAAGGCCUUAGGGUUGUAAAGCUCUUUUAGCCGGGAUGAUAAUGACAGUACCGGGAGAAUAAGCUCCGGCUAACUCCGUG